UCUCAUAUCUCUCUAUACGGGAGAGAAGCUUCGACUAAGGUUCGAUUCGAGCGUCAGCGAGAAAGCGUUGCCGCAGGCAACGAC
rnacentral:sRNA from 1 species